rnacentral:rRNA from 1 species
UACGGAGGGUGCAAGCGUUGUUCGGAAUUACUGGGCGCAAAGCGCGUGUAGGCGGCGUCUUAAGUCCGAUGUGAAAGCCCGGGGCUUACCCCCGGAAGUGCAUCGGAUACUGGGAGGCUAGAGUACCGGAGAGGAGGGUGGAAUUCCUGGUGUAGCGGUGAAAUGCGUAGAUAUCAGGAGGAACACCGGUGGCGAAGGCGGCCCUCUGGACGGAUACUGACGCUGAGACACGAAAGCGUGGGGAGCAAACAGG